rnacentral:rRNA from 1 species
CGGCUUAGACCCGUGGCAUAUAGCUCAGUAACACGUGGCCAAACUACCCUACAGACCGCGAUAACCUCGGGAAACUGAGGCCAAUAGCGGAUAUCACUCUCACGCUGGAGUGCCGAGAGUGAGAAACGUUCCGGCGCUGUAGGAUGUGGCUGCGGCCGAUUAGGUAGAUGGUGGGGUAACGGCCCACCAUGCCGAUAAUCGGUACGGGUUGUGAGAGCAAGAACCCGGAGACGGUAUCUGAGACAAGAUACCGGGCCCUACGGGGCGCAGCAGGCGCGAAACCUUUACACUGCACGACAGUGCGAUAGGGGGACUCCGAGUGUGAGGGCAUAUAGCCCUCGCUUUUCUGUACCGUAAGGUGGUACAGGAACAAGGACUGGGCAAGACCGGUGCCAGCCGCCGCGGUAAUACCGGCAGUCCAAGUGAUGGCCGAUAUUAUUGGGCCUAAAGCGUCCGUAGCCGGCCGGACAAGUCCGUUGGGAAAUCGACGCGCUCAACGCGUCGGCG